AGGACGAACGCUGGCGGCGCGCUUAACACAUGCAAGUCGAGCGAGAACCGGGACUUCGGUCCUGGGGAAAGCGGCGAACGGGUGAGUAACACGUGAGUAAUCUGCCCUCAGCACCGGAAUAGCCCGGGGAAACUCGGAUUAAUGCCGGAUAGCCCGCUCUCCCUUCGGGGAGUUCGGAAAAGGUAGCUUUGGCCUCUGGCUGAGGAUGAGCUCGCGGCGGAUUAGCUUGUUGGCGGGGUAAUGGCCCACCAAGGCGACGAUCCGUAGCUGGUCUGAGAGGACGAUCAGCCACACUGGGACUGAGACACGGCCCAGACUCCUACGGGAGGCAGCAGUGGGGGAAUCUUGCGCAAUGGGCGAAAGCCUGACGCAGCGACGCCGCGUGGGGGAUGAAGGCCUUCGGGUUGUAAACCCCUUUCGGCAGGGACGAAGCGAAAGUGACGGUACCUGCAGAAGAAGCGCCGGCUAACUACGUGCCAGCAGCCGC
rnacentral:rRNA from 1 species